AGCGGGGUAGAGCAGCAGUAGGAAAACUACUCUGCCCCUACGGCAGCAUGGAGUGCCCGCCGGGCUCAUAACCCGGAGGUCAGUGGUUCAAGUCCACUCCCCGCUA
rnacentral:tRNA from 1 species